UCAUUACGCGUCGAUGGAAAACUAAACAAGUUACUGGUUAUUCUAAAAAUCCUAGAUCUUCUCCAGGAAAGAGACUCGGUUUAAAAAAAUUUGAAGGAAACAUCGUUAGAAGUGGCCAAAUACUUCAAAGACAGCGAGGCUUCGUGAUACGAGCUGGCGAAAAUGUAGGAGUAGGGAGAGACUACACCUUAUUCUCUUUAAUUGAUGGUCGCGUUAAGUUUACACGAAAAUUAAUUAAAUUGAAAUUUCAGAAAAGAUUAA